GUAACAAUAUUUUUUCAAACCUCGUAGGUAUAUUUUUAUUUAGCUGAUAUUAUACUCAAGUAACUAUUGGUUUCGUACAGGCAGAGCCAUCUAUCGGCAGGAUUGUAUUGAUAACCCAGUUUGCUGUUAGCUAGAAUGACAAAAGAUGGCGUGUCGAUCGUCGUUAAUUUAUUUCCUUCCAAAAUCCCUUUUGAAUUUUCAUUUAUUAAAAAUAAAACUCAAUUUAUUAUUGUAUUGUUAGUUUUCGUUCCUUUUUGGAAAUAUUUUAUUACCCUCUUUAAGACAGAAGUUAAAGUUGUUGUCUAUAGGCGAAUGCAUCUCGUCACGUAUCUGUGGGCCGAGCUGUCAGCCGACACUUUGCAUAUUGGAAAGGAUGUAGACGGGUGGUUUUCAAAUUCUUCAGGGCCAAUGCGCCACAUCUAAUUUUUAAAUCGCGAAUUAAUCGCAUAAUCGUAAGUAUUUUCUUCCAUAUUCGAAUGCAGUUUGUUGUGUUACGUUCAGUGCUAAUUCUUGUGUCCAUUAUUUUCAGAUGAUUUUAUUUUUAUAAAAUUACUGAGGACCCCUUCCAUUGACAUGAUUGCACGGAACCACAAGCCGGCUUCUUUUCUGGAAUGGGUCCUCAGAUUUGGAGGUUAACGUUCGAAGACAGAGCAGAGCUGAUGCUUCCCGAGCCUGGACCGGUGGACAGGAGGCUGUGACGAUCGGUAUGGAAGAGCUCCCAUUCCGUGGCUGCAGCGGCCACCUCUCCUCAACUCGGUUAGACGUCCCCAAGGUCAGAGCGUUCCUCGUUUUUUUUAAAGGCGCCCAACAUAAAUAAAUUUUUUAAUUAAUUAAUAAUUUACCUUUUACCCGGUCUUCCAGUACUAGAACUACUGACUCACCCCUAUGCUCUAAAUUUUAGGUAUUUGUUUUUUUUUUAAGUAAAUAAACUGAGCUAGCGAUAUAAUUUACAAUAAGUAGUAUAAUAAGGGUAGUUUCAUUCCCUACCAGUUAGGCGUUACUAAGUAGUGUAUUAUUACUCUCGAAAUUAUUUUCAAAAAGAAAAUUUAUUAAAAAGUUAUUUUCUAUAUAAAUACCUAGUUUACUUUAUUUACCCUUAGGUAUUCCCCAAAAUUGUAACAGUGGCAGCCCUACGUGUGGCUUUAGAGAGUUCAGGCUGGAAGACCGUUAGUUGCUUACCUAUUUAAUAAUUUUCUUAAACAUAGUAUUAGAGAUUAUUUACAUACCUACCUAAGAUUGUUGGCAAAAUCAAUGUUAAACAUUACUUUAAAUAACAAAUUCCUUACUAAAAAUAAAGGAAAGGUUUCCGUAUUUACUUUCGUUCCGUACUUUCUUUGUGUGUUAAAUGUAUAGUAUACCAUAUAGAUAAUUAUUACCUCUUGUUAGUUGGUGGGUACCAAAUCUGGUUAUUUUUAUUCAUUGCCAACAGUACUAUAUAUACCUACAAAACCAUUUUGUCUCUUUAUUUUAGUGAAAAGUAAGAAGUUAUGCUUGUAUUUAAUUCUAAAUAGUACCACACGCUUGGUACCUACUGCAUUUUGUAAUUCGUAAAUGAGGAUUUUUUUUUACAUUUUGAUGUGAAAGGUGUGAUUAGCAAAUUAAAUUUAUUUUACAUUGUAUUUAACUAGACUACAUACCUACUCUUUUUCUAGAAGGUGGUUAAUUUUAAUUGUUCAUAGUUCUUACCUAAUGAUAAUAGUUGAAGUAAUUUAAAGUACCUACAGCCAGUCGUAAGAAUUGGUGUCUUGUUUUCUAAAUUACCUAUUUUAUUCUUCCUUCCUUAACGAUAUUGAAGUUUGAUGUUGUAAAUUUAGUACAAAUAUUUAUGUAGGUAUUUUAAUUGAGUUUUACUACAUAAAGUUAAACAUGUAAAGAGCAUACAGGGUGAUUCUAAAAAAUGUUAAAAAUAAUAAUUUAACCUAACUUUUAUAUUUAAAUAAUUGGGUGAUCGUUUGGACCUUUUAUUGUUUAAAUUAGUCCAGCGUGCACAUUUAAUAUUAUUCGUGGGUUUCCUUUGUGGUUGAGAAUACUUUAGAAUAAAUAUUUUGUUGUGAAAGUGAUCGUGAUCUAAGUUGUUUACGAGGCGUUAUCUUUAUUACCUACUUUCCGGUGGGUUAGAUUUAACACAAGUUUUUCCAUAUUGUUGUUACGUUAAGGAGUAGGUAUUCAUUUAUUAGCAGUUAUCGGUGAUAGGUAGUUUUUUUGUUUUGAUGUAUAGUAGGCGUUUUCUUUAUGUGUUUGAAGUGGGAGUUAAGUACAUUGUGUCCGGAUGGUACUAAUACGUCCGUACACAAGUAUUACCUUUUCGAUGUUUGGUGGUGAGUGGACGAUUUAAAAGUUCUCUUCACGUAGUUUUCUGGGUGCUGGCGUUUUAAACCAGCAUUUCAGCUUCACUGGCUGGUCGGAUUCUUGCGGAUUUAAACGGAGAAUUCUUAAUAGCAGUGUUGUACCCUUGUUGAUGCUUUGCGAUAUGACUUAAAUCAUAUGCGUGAACGUUGGCGUUCUUUUGUGUUGUCGGACCGACAGACUUGCGUCGCCUGAGACGCGGUCUGUACAGUCAACCCUUGUACUUAUGUCUAAUGUUGUGUCGAAACGUUCCGUCUUGUGUCGUACAUAGACGCAGCCGGUAUAUACGCUUCGUUGUUCUGGUGUUAUUGUCUGUUCUUUGUAUUCUUAGCUGUCACCGAUAUUUGUUAGGGAAAUUUCAUUUAGCUAUAAGCCGUCUUCCGUUAUAUCGCUUGGACGUACAGCCCGCUGUCUGGUAUAGCUCGCUGUGCCGCCAAGAAAUAUAGACGAUGCGACGUAAUGUAGUAAUUUACCUAAAAAAAAAAAGGGGCUAUUCUUAUCUGGUUUAGUGCGUGGGUUCGAUUUGGAUGGUUUUUUUGUUAUCGAUUAUAGAUUUCGAGUUGUAGCUGUUAUAUUACCCAUAUUUCCUGUAGUUUGGAGCUGGGGACCAGCUCAAAAAUUUUGCCUGCGUCAAAAUUUUCUCUGGGGAGGGGAGUACUGUAACAAUAUUUUUUCAAACCUCGUAGGUAUAUUUUUAUUUAGCUGAUAUUAUACUCAAGUAACUAUUGGUUUCGUACAGGCAGAGCCAUCUAUCGGCAGGAUUGUAUUGAUAACCCAGUUUGCUGUUAGCUAGAAUGACAAAAGAUGGCGUGUCGAUCGUCGUUAAUUUAUUUCCUUCCAAAAUCCCUUUUGAAUUUUCAUUUAUUAAAAAUAAAACUCAAUUUAUUAUUGUAUUGUUAGUUUUCGUUCCUUUUUGGAAAUAUUUUAUUACCCUCUUUAAGACAGAAGUUAAAGUUGUUGUCUAUAGGCGAAUGCAUCUCGUCACGUAUCUGUGGGCCGAGCUGUCAGCCGACACUUUGCAUAUUGGAAAGGAUGUAGACGGGUGGUUUUCAAAUUCUUCAGGGCCAAUGCGCCACAUUCUAAUUUUUAAAUCGCGAAUUAAUCGCAUAAUCGUAAGUAUUUUCUUCCAUAUUCGAAUGCAGUUUGUUGUGUUACGUUCAGUGCUAAUUCUUGUGUCCAUUAUUUUCAGAUGAUUUUAUUUUUAUAAAAUUACUGAGGACCCCUUCCAUUGACAUGAUUGCACGGAACCACAAGCCGGCUUCUUUUCUGGAAUGGGUACGUUUCACAUUCGUUCGAGUAAUAUUUUAACCCUCGCUAAGGGUUGGUGGAAGCCUCAGGGUCAUUGUUUUUUUUUAAACCUAUUUCAGGUCCUCAGAUUUGGAGGUUAACGUUCGAAGACAGAGCAGAGCUGAUGCUUCCCGAGCCUGGACCGGUGGACAGGAGGCUGUGACGAUCGGUAUGGAAGAGCUCCCAUUCCGUGGCUGCAGCGGCCACCUCUCCUCAACUCGGUUAGACGUCCCCAAGGUCAGAGCGUUCCUCGU